UGGGGGAUAUUGCACAAUGGGCGAAAGCCUGAUGCAGCGACGCCGCGUGGGGGAUGAAGGUCUUCGGGUUGUAAACUUCUUUUGCUCUGAACAAGGCAUGCCUUUGGGGUGUGUUGAGUGUAGGGGUUGAUUAGCGCCGGCUAACUACGUGCCAGCAGCCGCGGUAAUACGUAGGGCGCGAGCGUUGUCCGGAAUUAUUGGGCGUAAAGGGCUUGUAGGUGGCUGGUUGCGUCUGUCGUGAAAGCUCAUGGCUUAACUGUGGGUUUGCGGUGGGUACGGGCUGGCUUGAGUGCAGUAGGGGAGGCUGGAAUUCCUGGUGUAGCGGUGGAAUGCGCAGAUAUCAGGAGGAAUACCGGUGGCGAAGGCGGGUCUCUGGGCUGUUACUGACGCUGAGGAGCGAAAGCGUGGGGAGCGAACAGG
rnacentral:rRNA from 1 species